AUUGAACGCUGGCGGCAGGCCUAACACAUGCAAGUCGAGCGGGGUUUUCGGACCUAGCGGCGGACGGGUGAGUAAUGCGUAGGAAGCUGCCCGAUAGAGGGGGAUACCAGUUGGAAACGACUGUUAAUACCGCAUAAUGUCUACGGACCAAAGUGUGGGACCUUCGGGCCACAUGCUAUCGGAUGCGCCUACGUGGGAUUAGCUAGUUGGUGAGGUAAUGGCUCACCAAGGCGACGAUCUCUAGCUGGUUUGAGAGGAUGAUCAGCCACACUGGAAAUGAGACACGGGCCAGACUCCUGCGGGAGGCAGCAGUGGGGAAUAUUGGACAAUGGGCGCAAGCCUGAUCCAGCCAUGCCGCGUGUGUGAAGAAGGCCUUCGGGUUGUAAAGCACUUUCAGCGAGGAGGAAGGGUGGUGUGUUAAUAGCACAUCAUUUUGACGUUACUCGCAGAAGAAGCACCGGCUAACUCUGUGCCAGCCGCCGCCGUAAGAC
rnacentral:rRNA from 1 species